AGAAACUUACCUCCUUCAGGAGUUCUCUGCUAUGUGAGUAGUUGUCCUUAUCUGAGAAUAUUUCUGACAGUUCCUCAUAUCUCCUCAUAGCCUCCCUGUCAAGUGGCAAAGAAACCACUAUAUUGUGUACUGGAGACCUGAGGUGCCACCGCUGCAAUUCCUUGGUCACCAGCAGAGGUCCAUAAAAGUCCCCAAUUACUUUCCACUGCACUACCAUACCUACUGUGUUGCAUACCCCAGUGUACUGCACAAAUUCGUACUACUAUUUUACUACUACAGAACCUUACAACCAGUUUUUAGUUUAUUUUUUGUAAUUUUUAUAAUAACUCAAAUUUAUGUUUGUACUGUUUUAUUUUCAUGUUGUCCUGACUUUCUUUUCAACCAUGGAAGGCAAUCACAAAGGAUAGCAAAUUAGGAAUUUCAUUGUGCAGUGCAAAUUGUUCUUUGUGUGUAUAGCAAUAAAGCCUUGAUUUUUAAAA